rnacentral:rRNA from 1 species
CCUACGGGGGGCUGCAGUGGGGAAUAUUGCACAAUGGGCGCAAGCCUGAUGCAGCGACGCCGCGUGAGGGAUGACGGCCUUCGGGUUGUAAACCUCUUUCAGCACGGAAGAAGCGAAAGUGACGGUACGUGCAGAAGAAGCGCCGGCUAACUACGUGCCAGCAGCCGCGGUAAUACGUAGGGCGCAAGCGUUGUCCGGAAUUAUUGGGCGUAAAGAGCUCGUAGGCGGUUUGUCGCGUCUGCUGUGAACGCCCGGGGCUUAACCCCGGGUGUGCA